rnacentral:lncRNA from 1 species
AAAAUAAUAAAUAAAAAUUUGAUUAUCCAUGUCAUUAAUCCACAUCAUCAAUCUCACACUCCUCAAACUCACGUUAUUUCUCAUCUUCUCUUUUUUGUCUCAAAAUCGAAGAAAAGCUUUAAGAUCAUUUCUCCUCUUCUCUUUUUUUUGUCUACAAAUCCAAGAAAAGCUUUUAGAUCUAAUAAUCUGCAACUAACUUUGGUACAACAUUGACAGAGAUCUUCAAAUUGCAGGAUUGGGCUGGAUCUUCCUAGACCUCACAGCCACAACGCUUGCCAUAGGGUCCCAAAUCAAAAGCUUCGUCAGAUCUACUCGCAACCACGCUCACGAAAAAAGUCAUCAAAAAUCAAAACCCAAAACAAAGAGAUCUAUGGAAUUCUACAUGAUUCGUUACAGGUUUGAGUUGAAAUCAAGAAUAGCUACUCUUUUACUUUGAUUUUACAUGUCUCUCGUUUAAUCUUCCUCUCAAUCGAUCUAUUUGGAGACAUUUCUACUUCUAUCUAUGUUUUGAUUCAUACGGUUUAGUCUUCCUCCUAUGUAUCUCUCAAACAUAUUUUUACGAAUCUUAAUAUGAUUGUUGUUAUUUGACCAAUAAAUUUCAUAUUGUCUUCUCC